ACACGUGGGUAACCUGCCUUAUAGUGGGGGAUAGCCUUUCGAAAGGAAGAUUAAUACCGCAUAAGAUUGUAGUAUCGCAUGAUAUAGCAAUUAAAGGAGCAAUUCGCUAUAAGAUGGACCCGCGUCGCAUUAGCUAGUUGGUGAGGUAACGGCUCACCAAGGCGACGAUGCGUAGCCGACCUGAGAGGGUGAUCGGCCACAUUGGGACUGAGACACGGCCCAGACUCCUACGGGAGGCAGCAUG
rnacentral:rRNA from 1 species